rnacentral:ncRNA from 1 species
AAUCUCAUCCAGCAAGAUGUAGCCGCAUCACUGGUAGCGAGUUUUGGGGAGGCAGAGGUAACAAUGCUUCUUAAGUGUAAACAGUUAGGAAAUAGGGAUGAAAGUGAUUGAGCACCGAAAUCUACGUAACCCGUAGGUCGACGUUUUCCUUCGAACGGAAGACAACAUAUGUACAUCUGCUAGGGUUAGGAUGUAAAUACUACGGCGGUGUCUGAGAGC